rnacentral:rRNA from 1 species
UACGGGGGGUGCAAACGUUGCUCGGAAUUAUUGGGCGUAAAGCGCACGUAGGCGGUCUGGUAAGUCGGGUGUGAAAGCCCGGGGCUUAACCCCGGAAGUGCACUCGAAACUGCCAGGCUUGAGUACGGAAGAGGGUCUCGGAAUUCCCGGUGUAGAGGUGAAAUUCGUAGAUAUCGGGAGGAACACCAGUGGCGAAGGCGGAGACCUGGGCCGAUACUGACGCUGAGGUGCGAAAGCGUGGGGAGCAAACAGGG